AAAAUUAGAAAGAAGGCGCGUCGGAAAUGGUCGGGAUAGCUCAGCAGGUAGAGCAGAG
rnacentral:tRNA from 1 species